GAAUUCUGGACAAUGGGCGAAAGCCUGAUCCAGCAAUGCCGCGCGCAGGAAGAAGGCCUUCGGGUUGUCAACUGCUUUUGUACGGAACGAAAAGCUUUGGGUUAAUACCCUGGAGUCCUUACGGUACCGUCAGAAUAAGCACCGGCUAACACCCUUCCAGCAGCCGCGGUAAUACGUAGGGUGCAAGAGUUAAUCGGAAUUACUGGGCGUAAAGCGUGCGCAGGCGGUGUUGUAAGACAGAGGUGAAAUCCCCGGGCUCAACCUGGGAACUGCCUUUGUGACGGCAAGGGUAGAGUACGGCAGAGGGGGGUGGAAUUCCGCGUGUAGCAGUGAAAGGCGUAGAUAUGCGGAGGAACACCGAUGGCGAAGGCAACCCCCUGGGCCUGUACUGACGCUCAUGCACGAAAGCGUGGGGAGCAAACA
rnacentral:rRNA from 1 species